rnacentral:rRNA from 1 species
CAUGCAAGUCGGACGGUAGCACAGGAGGAGCUUGCUCCUCGGGUGACGAGUGGCGGACGGGUGAGUAAUGUCUGGGAAACUGCCCGAUGGAGGGGGAUAACUACUGGAAACGGUAGCUAAUACCGCACAACGUCGCAAGACCAAAGUGGGGGACCUCCGGGCCUCACACCAUCGGAUGUGCCCAAAUGGGAUUAGCUUGUAGGCGGGGUAACGGCCCGCCUAGGCGACGAUCCCUACCUGGUCUGAGAGGAUGACCACCCACACUGGAACUGAGACACGGCCCAGACUCCUACGGGAGGCGGCAGUGGGGAAUAUUGGACAAUGGGCGCAAGCCUGAUGCACCCAUGCCGCGUGUAUGAACAAGGCCUUCGGGUUGUAAAGUACUUUCAGCGGGGAGGAAGGUGUUGAGGUUAAUAACCUCAGCAAUUGACGUUACCCGCAGAACAAGCACCGGCUAACUCCGUGCCAGCAGCCGCGGUAAUACGGAGGGUGCAAGCGUUAAUCGGAAUUACUGGGCGUAAAGCGCACGCAGGCGGUCUGUUAAGUCAGAUGUGAAAUCCCCGGGCUUAACCUGGGAACUGCAUUUGAAACUGGCAGGCUUGAGUCUCGUAGAGGGGGGUAGAAUUCCAGGUGUAGCGGUGAAAUGCGUAGAGAUCUGGAGGAAUA